GAACUACAAGUGAAAAACUUCAAACUUAAAGGACUUGACGGUAUCCCAAACCGACCUAGAGGAGCCUGUCCUAUAAUCGAUACCCCCCGCUCCACCCAACCUCAACUAGCACAAUAUCAGCCUAUAUACCGCCGUCGACAGCCUACCCUAUGAAGGUCCAACAGUAGACAUAAUAGCCCCCCACUAACACGUCAGGUCAAGGUGUAGCAAAUGUUGAGGAAGAGAUUGGCUACAUUUUUUAUGAUAAAAAAAACGAAAAGUAUUAUGAAAUAAUACAUGAAGGUGAAUUUAGUAGUAAAAUAAACAAGAGUGUUUAUUUUAACACCGCUCUGGGAUGUGUACACACCGCCCG
rnacentral:rRNA from 1 species